rnacentral:rRNA from 1 species
AUGGUGCUCAUGCUGGCUCUGAACCUGUUCCAAUAAGGGCGGUAAGUCUUGCCAGGGUUACUUCUGUGUGAAUGCUCCGUUUAAUGGGCAUCUGUUUGGCAUCUUUCUUAAUAUUAGGUGUAUGAAUAAUUGGGGUGGGUCUAUGUCUUGGUGUCAGUCCGCCUACGGUAAUAUCCAGCAGCCCCGAGUGUUCGGGACGAUUAUUGGGCCUAAAGCAGCCGUAGCCGGUUCUGCAAGUCUUCCGUUAAAUCCACCUGCUCAAUCAGAUUGGGCUGUCGGAGGAUAUUACAGGGCUAGGAGGCGGGAGAGGCAAGUCUGGUACUCAGUGGGUAUGGGGUAAUAAUCUUUUGAUCCAUCUGAAGACCACCAGUGGCGAAGUCGGCUUGCCAGAACGCGCUCGACGGUGAGGGAUGAAAGCUGGGGGAGCAAACCGGAUUAGAGACCCGGGUAGUCCCAGCUGUUUACGAUGCAGAGCUCGGUGAUGGGUUGGCUUCGAGCCAACACCAGUGCCGCAGGGAAGCCUGUUAAGUCUGCCUCCUGGGGAGUACGGUCG